rnacentral:rRNA from 1 species
UACAGAGGGUGCAAGCGUUAAUCGGAUUUACUGGGCGUAAAGGGCGCGUAGGUUGGAUAUUAAGUCGUAUGUGAAAGGCCAAGGCUUAACCAUGGGAAGUCAUAUGAUACUGAUAUUCUAGAGUCGAAGAGAGGGAAGCGGAAUUUCCGGUGUAGCGGUGAAAUGCGUAGAUAUCGGAAGGAACACCUGUAGUGAAGACGGCUUUCUGGAUUCAGACUGACACUGAGGCGCGAAAGCGUGGGUAGCGAACAGG